ACAACAGCUUUUUUCAAAGCUACCUGUAUUUCGUACCCGUUGUUU
rfam:Anopheles minimus strain MINIMTS1 unplaced genomic scaffold supercont1.110, whole genome shotgun sequence.